UACAGAGGUGGCAAGCGUUGUUCGGAAUUACUGGGCGUAAAGGGCGCGUAGGCGGCUUGGUCAGUCCCGUGUGAAAUCCCUCGGCUCAACUGAGGAACUGCACGGGAAACUGCCUGGCUUGAGUUCGGGAGAGGGAAGCGGAAUUCCAGGUGUAGCGGUGAAAUGCGUAGAUAUCCGGAGGAACACCGGUGGCGAAGGCGGCUUCCUGGACCGACACUGACGCUGAGGCGCGAAAGCUAGGGGAGCAAACGGG
rnacentral:rRNA from 1 species